CCUUGGUAUGGAAAAACGAUUGCUGCAACCACUGGCAACACAGAAUAUGCGAUACCGGAAUUUCUGUGCGUGCGUACAGAGAGAUGAUCAGGUCAGAUGUUACAAUUCACUUCACCUGCACCAGAUGCAAGAGAAGCCAAGAAGAAACAAUCAGUGGUCCAAGGGAUUCAACUCAUAUAGUCUUUGGACACAAC